rnacentral:lncRNA from 1 species
AUGCACCUACAGAGGGGAAGGUCUUCUCAGGGUGAGACCACAGGCUUGUGUACACAUAGAACCUGGCUGUUACACACCUGGUUACAUCACGAAAUUGAUUUUGCUCCUUUCCAAUGCAGAGCUACAGUGAACAAAAAACCCCAAAUUCUACAAUUAAUGGGAAUCCUAAUUACUUCUUACAGAGAAGUUUUUGAGAAGCCAUCAUAUGCUGUGAGAAUAACCAGAGUGCAAAGCCAGCUCUAGCAGAGGUGGAAGUGGAUAUCUCCGUGAUGGUUUAUCUCCUGAGGACACUACAGAAGCUGCUGCCUCAUCCAGAAUAAAUUUUCUGGAAGACUGCA